GGACGGGUGAGUAAUGCCUAGGAAUCUGCCUGGUAGUGGGGGACAACGUUUCGAAAGGAACGCUAAUACCGCAUACGUCCUACGGGAGAAAGCAGGGGACCUUCGGGCCUUGCGCUAUCAGAUGAGCCUAGGUCGGAUUAGCUAGUUGGUGAGGUAAUGGCUCACCAAGGCGACGAUCCGUAACUGGUCUGAGAGGAUGAUCAGUCACACUGGAACUGAGACACGGUCCAGACUCCUACGGGAGGCAGCAGUGGGGAAUAUUGGACAAUGGGCGAAAGCCUGAUCCAGCCAUGCCGCGUGUGUGGAGAAGGUCUUCGGAUUGUAAAGCACUUUAAGUUGGGAGGAAGGGCAUUAACCUAAUACGUUAGUGUUUUGACGUUACCGACAGAAUAAGCACCGGCUAACUCUGUGCCAGCAGCCGCGGUAAUACAGAGGGUGCAAGCGUUAAUCGGAAUUACUGGGCGUAAAGCGCGCGUAGGUGGUUCGUUAAGUUGAAUGUGAAAUCCCCGGGCUCAACCUGGGAACUGCAUCCAAAACUGGCGAGCUAGAGUAUGGCAGAGGGUGGUGGAAUUUCCUGUGUAGCGGUGAAAUGCGUAGAUUAGGAAGGGAACACCAGUG
rnacentral:rRNA from 1 species